rnacentral:rRNA from 1 species
GUACAGGCCGGGGGGGAGGGUGUGGGGAGAUGUGGGGGGCAAGGGUGGUCCGGAAUUGGUGGGCGUAAAGGGGUGGGAGGCGGCGUGUCACGUCGAUGGGGAAGGCCGGAGGCUUAACCUCGGGUCUGCAGUCGGUACGGGCUAGCUAGAGGGUGGUAGGGGAGAUCGGAAGUCCUGGUGUAGCGGUGAAAUGCGCAGAUAUCAGGAGGAACACCGGUGGCGAAGGCGGAUCUCUGGGCCAUUACUGACGCGGAGGAGCGAAAGCGUGGGGAGCGAAUAGGAUUAGAUACCCGAGUAGUC